rnacentral:rRNA from 1 species
UACGGAGGAUGCAAGCGUUAUCCGGAAUUAUUGGGCGUAAAGCGUCCGCAGGUGGCACUUCAAGUCUGUCUUCAAAGACCGGGGCUUAACCCUGGAAAGGCGAUGGAAACUGAAAGGCUAGAGAGAGGUAGGGGUAGAGGGAAUUCCCAGUGUAGCGGUGAAAUGCGUAGAGAUUGGGAAGAACAUCGGUGGCGAAAGCGCUCUACUGGACCUCAUCUGACACUCAGGGACGAAAGCUAGGGGAGCGAAUGGG